AAUGAAAGAGAUGGACAGACGGAGUACCUGAAAAAACACACCAAAAAAGUAGAAAAGGAAAACGAAGAAACCGAGAGGCUCUCUUUGUUGCUCCUGGAUGUAAAUUCCACCGACUCAGAUCACUGUCUUGGCUAGUAGCGAGAGAUCAGAGAUGGCUGGGCCUCACAGCAGUAGAGAGAUGGCGGUGGCUCCAACAAUUACGAUGUUUAUGGAAAGAGGAUCGCGGAGGAGGCUCCUUCGGAGACGGCAGUGGCUUACAACAGGUGCAAUGCCUCUGGAAAUAGGAUCGCAGAGGCUCCUUCGGAGACGGCUGUGGCUUACAACAAGUAUAAUGCUUCUGGAAAGGGGAUUGCGGAGGCUACUCCCGUGGCUGCCGCUAAACGCCGUCGAGCUGACUUUGAUGACCCUAGCAUCCUUAGUUUCUCAAGUUUUUAUGCUCGUGGGGAUGGAAGAGGAGAAACCCGUGUAAUUGUAGACACUGACCCCAUUGGAGCAUCCUACGAUUUUUACCUCCAGUGCUCGAAAAUGUCGCCUCAUAUUGGGGGAACAUCUGCCCCGUCUGUGGAUGGCGGAUUUAAAGAUCAUCAUGUUGAUCUCAGUGUUACGGGAUCCAAUCCAGCUCUGACUCAGUUUUAUGGGAUCCAAUCCAGCUCAACUCAGUGUUAUGGGAGCCAAUCCAGCAAGAAGAAAGGAUAGCCAAAGCAUGACUUUGCAGGGUGGAAUACCAACAAAUCCUGUUCCAUCUGAUGCUUCCAGGACAUUGUUUGUGCUGGGUUUGCCUUCAGACUGUAGACGGCGGGAAGUUGCUCAUCUGUUUCGCUGCUUUGAAGGCUAUCAAGAAUUGAGACUUAUAAGGAAAGAGCCAAAAUAUCAUGGUGGUGAUCCAUCAGUACUUUGUUUUGUGGAUUUUGUUAGUCCCGCUCAUGCAGCUGUUGUUAAGGAUGCUUUGCAAGGUUACAAAUUUGAUGAGCUUGAUCCUCUUUCUGUCCGUUUGAUAUUGCAAUUUGCUCGUCACCCGGCUGCAAGGUUGGCUGGUGGGUACCGUUGAAAAUGAUGAGGCACUCAGAUUGUGUAAGUUAGAACAGACUCCAGAUGGUGGUUUUCCUGGGAUCAGCUUGAAUCGGGAGAAGGGCAAACUUUUUUAGCUUCCGAGAUUCUCAUGUCAGCUUUGCCGCUGUCGUUGGGAUCAGGCAUAGAAGAUAAACCAAGAAUCGGAAACUGAAUAUCCUUGAAUGUUAGUUUUAAUCAUUUCCUCAGAAAUACCGAAGCUGAUUGGAGUGGGCAAGGUCAGGUCCAACAUAUAUUUGUCAUUUUCACUAAAAGAGUGCUCUCUUGUUAAGACUGCUAGUACGCUGAUUGCUAUCUGUAUUGCAGGAUGGAGAUUAUCGUCUUUACUUGCUGGGAUAGCCUUAUCGGCUUUUCUACCUAGGAAGUUUCUAGGGGCUCUUUUUUGGUGUCUUUGCUUUCUUAUGAUUUCAAGCUGCUUAUAUUCUGGCUGCUUCUAUGCGUUAUAAAUAGAUAUUUAGCAUCAGUAAUCAUGGCACCUCUAAUGAUAGUGCAACACGUGGCUUUCCUUUGGCAGGUGAUGAUGUGCUGUAAAUUUCAGCGCUCUGUUACUUCCGUGGCUUACUUUUGGAUCCAUUCUAGUUACGCGUGUCUGACUUCUCUGAUAUGUUUGGCUGGAGUGCAAGGUAUGGUCCUUCCGCUUAAAGGGUUGUGAUUCCAGUUCAUGUAAUGGGCGACUUCCUGUCAGUUGGAUUAUGUCUGUCUGUCGAGUCUACUUCUGUGUGACGGUUCUCACCUGUUCUUGGAGACAUAGUAACGGUGAUUGUGUGCCUAGGUUUUGGUUUGUUUUGAAUAGGCACUACUGUUCUAAGAUGCGCUCUUGGCUUGCCAAUUUUAUGAGAAACUGCAGUUGUUAAGUUUUGACUGUGAAGUGACUCGUCCACGCGUUGUCUUUGGGUGCAAGAUGCUUUCUGCGAUUAUCCUGGCUGUUGCGUCUCUUGCUUAAAAUUGAGGAGGGUUGCGGAGGGGAGAGGCUGAUUAGAAAUGGAGAAAGUUAAUACAUCGCUUUUGCUUUUGUGAAAGCCGCGGGGGGAAGAAGAAGAAAAAUGCGACAGAGGAAGAAUUGAUCUGAUUUGUGGUUUUAAAGUCCGGUGGUGAGCGGAAUUGUGAUCGGUGGACUGGUUGUUGAAUUGAUCUGAUUUGUGGUUUUAAAGUCCGAGAGUCGACGUGAUUAUUCACUGGUUGGGGUGGUUCCUACUUCCUACAUAUUAUAUGGGUUUAGCAGAAACAUGGAGAGAGAAGAUCUGGAUUUUUUUGGGAGUUGAACCAUUAGAAUCUUCUAAUUAAGAUAUAACAUUAGAACGGUACUGGCUUCUCAUUACAAACCUAAAUCGCCACAUGAGCAUGCUAAUUACGUGGCAUUAAUUAAAAUAUUUUUUUCGACAAUAUUUGGGUCACAGAAACAGUAACCAUACAUAUUUAGUUUAGUUCAAUCAAACCAUCAUAUAUAUAUAUUGUUAUACGAUUUUGGUCA